CACGUAGGGUGCGAGCGUUGUCCGGAAUUAUUGGGCGUAAAGAGCUCGUAGGCGGUGUGUCGCGUCGGCCGUGAAAACCUGCAGCUUAACUGUGGGCUUGCGGUCGAUACGGGCAUCACUGGAGUUCGGCAGGGGAGACUGGAAUUCCUGGUGUAGCGGUGAAAUGCGCAGAUAUCAGGAGGAACACCAACGGCGAAGGCAGCUCGCUGGGACGGUACUGACGCUGAGGCGCGAAAGCGUGGGGAGCGAACAGG
rnacentral:rRNA from 1 species